AUUUAAGCUAUUGUAAUAGCACCAUUCCCAUUCCUAAGACCCCUCACCUUGGAGACACCCUCCGCUUCUCAGUACCCCCCACCGGGACUUGGUUUGCAUACUCCUCAGGAUUAACCCCAUGUUUAAACUUAUAUCACAUGAAAAAACUCUCUGAUUUUUGUAUCCUAGUUCAUCUACUUCCCCAGGUUUUUUAUUCCUCGGGGGAAGGUGUCCGGGAACACUCAGGCUUCAUUCCACAGUCUAGAGAGAGAAAUAGCAAAUGGAGGAGAGGCACAGAGAGAGAGAGAGAGAAAGAGAGAGAAUCUUAAGCGGUCUCCACACUCAGCACAGAGCCCCACCCAGGGCUCGAUCCCACGACCUUGAGCCGAAAUCAAGAGUCUGAAGCUCACCCAACUGAGCCACCCAUGCACCCCUGGAGCUCUUCACCCUCACGGCGUGAUUAGGGUGGAAGAGGGAGGCUGAGCAUCAAGGAACGCCGGCCACCUGCACAAGGCAUGGGACCUUCCUGACACCUUGACUUUAGCACAGCGAGACGCACUUUGGGCUUCUGACCUCCAGAACCGUGAGGGAGAGGGAGAGAGAGAGCACGCACAAGCGAGGGAGGGGCGGAGAGAAGGAGAGACAGAAUCCCAAGCAGGCUCCGCACCAUCGGGGCUGAGCCCAGUGUGGGGCUUGAAUUCACAAAGUGUGAAAUCACGACGCGAGUGGACAGCAAGAGUCAGAUGCUUUGCCAACGGAGCCACCCCAACGCCCCUGUUGCUGUGUUAAUUUUAAACAACUAUUGGUAAGUAGAUGGGGAAACGGAGGAAGGGACAGGUUCAUGGG